UAACCCAUUCUCACGUCGAUUUCUUUCCCUUCCUCUCGAUCCUCUCGAUGCCGCUUCUCUCUUCCUCUUCCCCUCUUCCUCUUCGUCGAGCUCGCGUCGCCGCCACCCAUUCUCGAUCCCUUCAUCUCCCUCAACCCAGCGCCGCUUCAUUUCUUCUUCUCCAUCGCGAAUAAAACCCCUCGGCCAAGGAAAGUCGAGCCCUUUCCCCUAGCGCCGACCCCCCUUCUCUCUGCUCUAGCACCGCCAGUCGAUCGCCGGCCACCGGAGACUUGAGCUCUCCCAUCUUCACCACAGAUCACCUUCCCUCUGCCCUAGUUGGAUUCGCUGAUCCUUCUCUCCGUGCUGCCGCCGAUCACCAUAGCCGACGCCAACCGCCGCCCUCUUCCUUACACACCUGUGCCAUAAGUCGUCAUGGUUCUUCCAUGCCAGCAAACCAUCUCCAAGCUCUGACAUCACCUCAGAUGUCCUCUAGAGUCACUGUCUUGUGCACUUCCAUCGUCGGGGAGGUGAGUCGUCGCCUCUGUAAACUGUCGCCAAAGAGGAGAAGGGCUUUGAUUCGAGACAAGUGUCUCGACGUGGGAUCUAUUUCAGAUACGAUCUCCAUUUUUGAGGUUGAAGCUGUCAGGAGGUUCUAGUCGUUAGUCCCCCACUAGGUGUCAAGAUGACUUUCUGGUUUUGGACUUUCGUUAUUUCCUUGUUUUGUUAUGUCUACAUACUUAUGAUGUGUAGUUCUUGUACUUAUGAAUUCUAUGGCGUGCUUCGGGUAUGAUGCCCAUGUUU